CAGUCCCUCCUCGACUCCCUCCACCCCCCUCACCAGCAGCCCUCAACAUGUGGCAGACAGAGGAGCCUGGAUCCAGCCUGGCCUACAGGCCAACAUGGCGAGGGGGAAGAAUGGCCGACAACAUUUCCUGCUCUGCGCCUGAGGUAAUCCAGAUCCUUAGCCUGCUGGAAACUAUUAAGCACAACCAAGACCAGCUGAUUGCGAAGGGCAAGCUGAGCUUCCCUUGCAGUCUUAGAGCAAUCGCCACUGAUAUGAGACCAAGGUGACAAUGUGCUGGCGAGAGAGAUGAGCGCAGGUGUUAAUGAUCUGCACUAUAGCAGGUUUUGGAAAAGUAGGAAUAUUACACCUCUGUUUUAGAAAGACAGGCUGGCAAAUUUCCACCCUUACCUUGGGGAAAAUGUGCCGCCUAAAUAAAAAGGGUAGUAGUCUGGAAAACUGGCGAGGUUUGUUUUGAUCCUUUUUUUGUGUGUGCAUGUGCACUGCGUCCCCACAUA